GUGCUUAGGCAGCACACAUACUAAAACUAGAACAAUAUAAUGAAGAUUUUUGUGGCCCCUGCAGAAGGAUGACAUGUAUUCAUGGGAAACUAUAUGUGCUGGG
rnacentral:snRNA from 1 species